GUGUCCCAAACAGAACUCCGGAUAUUUUCACCAUCAACUGGGUCACUCAAAGUCCUUCCCAUCUCAGCAAAUGGCAACUCCAUUCUCCCUGUUGCUUAGGCCAAAAUUUGUUUUCCAUUCUUCUCUUUUCUCUCACAUCCCAUAUCCAGUUUGUUAGCAAAUCUGGUCAGUUUGACUUUGAAAUUUAUGCAGUACCUCAGAAGGUGACUUUAUUUGGAGUAGGGCCUUUACAGAGGUAAUCAAGUUAAAAUGAGGCUGGCUAGGGGACUUCCCUGGUGGUCCAGUGGCUAAGACUCUGCACUCCCAACGCAGGGGGCCCUGGUUCGAUCCCUGGUCAGGGAACUAGAUCCCACAUGCCACAACUAAGAGUUCGCAUGCCACAAUGGAAAGAUCCCACGUGCCACAGCUAAGACUUGGCACAGCCAAAUAAAUAAAUAAAUAUAUUUUUUUAAAUGAGGCUGGCUAGUGUGGGACCUCAUCCAAUCCGACUGGUGUCCUCAUCAGAAGAGAUUAGGACACACAAUGAGACACCAGGAUUAUGUGCGUGCAUGUGGAAAGACUGUGUGAGGACACAGUGGGAAGGUGCCGGGCCAUUCGAGAGCCAACGAGAGAGGCCUCAGGAGAAACCAGACCUGCUGAUGCCUCGAUCUCGGACUUCUGGCUUCCAGAACUGUGUUUCUCCAAAAGAAAGGUGAACAGAUGUGCAUCAAAAGCCUGUGUUCCACGACAGGAGAAGCCACUGCAAUGAGAAGCCCGCGCUCCGCAACGAGAAGCCUGUGUUCCGCAACAGGAGAAGCCACCGCAAUGAGAAGCCCACGCACCACAAACACCCAAUGCAGCCAAAAAUAAAUACAUAAAUAAAUAAAGUUAA